UGGAUCUGUUUGACAGACCCACAGCAGUUGCUUAUCUGCUGCCAAGGUUUCCACUACAGAUCUGAGAAAAAAAAAGUAUGUCCUUGUGCUUCCUGCCUAACUGAUAACAGUAUCUCAGAUUGAAUGGGAAAAUACAGGA
rnacentral:snoRNA from 1 species